UUUGAGGCCAUGGUGCUCCUAACC
rnacentral:piRNA from 1 species